UACCUUUCCUACUCCCUAAUUUUCAAAAUACACACACUCCGCCCCUACAUGCCUAACCUCUCUGUUAGUACUCAAUUCACUCUCUAUUCCUUCCUUCACUUCACCCCAAUUGUCUCAUAUUCCCAUCCUUUUCCUCCUAGAGGUAUCAAUCUCUCACAGCACCCCACCUCUCCCUAUCCUCCUCUUUCAGCUCCUACCCUACUACUCUCUAAUACCUAUUCUGUCCCUAACCACUCCUCUCUCUAUACCUCUCUUACCUCCCU
rnacentral:lncRNA from 1 species